UUUUUUUUGCUUUUUGUGAGAUA
rnacentral:siRNA from 1 species